rnacentral:rRNA from 1 species
UAGGGAAUUUUGUCGCAAUGGGGGAAACCCGUGACGCAGCAACGCCGCGUGAUUGAUGAAGCCCUUCGGGUGUAAAGAUCUGUCAGUGGGGACGAAACUUGACGGUACCCACAGAGGAAGCACCGGCUAACUCCGUGCC